rnacentral:rRNA from 1 species
UGGGGAAUAUUGCACAAUGGGGGAAACCCUGAUGCAGCGACGCCGCGUGAGCGAAGAAGUAUCUCGGUAUGUAAAGCUCUAUCAGCAGGGAAGAAAAUGACGGUACCUGACUAAGAAGCCCCGGCUAACUACGUGCCAGCAGCCGCGGUAAUACGUAGGGGGCAAGCGUUAUCCGGAUUUACUGGGUGUAAAGGGAGCGCAGGCGGCGCGGUAAGUCUGAUGUGAAAGCCCGGGGCUCAACCCCGGGACUGCAUUGGAAACUGUCGUGCUGGAGUGUCGGAGGGGCAAGUGGAAUUCCUAGUGUAGCGGUGAAAUGCGUAGAUAUUAGGAGGAACACCAGUGGCGAAGGCGGCUUGCUGGACGACAACUGACGCUGAGGCUCGAAAGCGUGGGGAGCAAACAGG